UUUCCGGUGAUCCCGCCGGACCUGACUGCUAUCGGAUUGAUACUAAGCCAUGCGAGUCAUUGUAGUAAUACAAGGCAGACGGCUCAGUAACGCGUAGUCAACCUACCCUAUGGACGGGGAUAACCUCGGGAAACUGAGAAUAAUACCCGAUAGAACAUUAUACCUGGAAUGGUUUAUGUUUCAAAUAAUUUAUUGCCGUAGGAUGGGACUGCGGCCUAUCAGUUUGUUGGUGAGGUAAUGGCCCACCAAGACUAUUACAGGUACGGGCUCUGAGAGGAGUAGCCCGGAGAUGGGUACUGAGACACGGACCCAGGCCCUAUGGGGCGCAGCAGGCGAGAAAACUUUGCAAUGUGCGAAAGCACGACAAGGUUAAUCCGAGUGGUUUCUGCUAAAGGAACCUUUUGUCAGUCCUAGAAACACUGGUGAAUAAGGGGUGGGCAAGUUCUGGUGUCAGCCGCCGCGGUAAAACCAGCACCUCAAGUGGUCAGGAUGAUUAUUGGGCCUAAAGCAUCCGUAGCCUGCUUUGUUAGUUUUCGGUUAAAUCCAUACGCUUAACGUAUGGGCUGCCGGGAAUACUGCAAAGCUAGGGAGUGGGAGAGGUAGACGGUACUCGGUAGGAAGGGGUAAAAUCCUUUGAUCUAUUGAUGACCACCUGUGGCGAAGGCGGUCUACCAGAACACGUCCGACGGUGAGGGAUGAAAGCUGGGGGAGCAAACCGGAUUAGAUACCCGGGUAGUCCCAGCUGUAAACUAUGCAAACUCGGUGAUGCAUUGGCUUGAUGCCAAUGCAGUGCCGCAGGGAAGCCGUUAAGUUUGCCGCCUGGGAAGUACGUACGCAAGUAUGAAACUUAAAGGAAUUGGCGGGGGAGCACCACAAGGGGUGAAGCCUGCGGUUCAAUUGGAUUCAACGCCGGG
rnacentral:rRNA from 1 species